rnacentral:rRNA from 1 species
UACGUAGGGGGCAAGCGUUGUCCGGAAUCAUUGGGCGUAAAGCGCGUGUAGGCGGCCAGAAAAGUCCGCUGUGAAAACUCGAGGCUCAACUUCGAGCUGUCGGUGGAAACUUUCUGGCUAGAGUCCGGAAGAGGAGAAUGGAAUUCCUGGUGUAGCGGUGAAAUGCGCAGAUAUCAGGAAGAACACCCGUGGCGAAGGCGGUUCUCUGGGACGGUACUGACGCUGAGACGCGAAAGUGUGGGGAGCGAACAGG